rnacentral:rRNA from 1 species
UACGUAGGUGGCAAGCGUUGUCCGGAAUUAUUGGGCGUAAAGCGCGCGCAGGCGGUCCUUUAAGUCUGAUGUGAAAGCCCGCGGCUCAACCGUGGAGGGUCAUUGGAAACUGGGGGACUUGAGUACAGAAGAGGAAAGCGGAAUUCCACGUGUAGCGGUGAAAUGCGUAGAGAUGUGGAGGAACACCAGUGGCGAAGGCGGCUUUCUGGUCUGUAACUGACGCUGAGGCGCGAAAGCGUGGGGAGCAAACAGG